CCUACGGGUGGCAGCAGUGGGGAAUAUUGCACAAUGGGGGAAACCCUGAUGCAGCGACGCCGCGUGAGUGAAGAAGUUCUUCGGUAUGUAAAGCCCUAUCAGCAGGGAAGAAAAUGACGGUACCUGAUUAAGAAGCCCCGGACAACUACGUGCCAGCAGCCGCGGUAAUACGGAGGGGGCCAGCGUUAUCCGGAUUUACCGGGUGUAAAGGGAGCGUAGACGGCAGGACAAGUCUGGAGUGAAAUGCCGGGGCUUAACCCCGGAACUGCUGUGGAAACUGUGAAGCUAGAGUGCAGGAGAGGUAAGUGGAAUGCCUGGUGUAGCGGUGAAAUGCGUAGAUAUUAGGCGGAACACCAGUGGCGAAGGCGGCUUACUGGA
rnacentral:rRNA from 1 species